GGGAGCUGAUUUCGUCCGGGAAAUGUCUUUUCUUGGACUGAAGGGAGCUCCC
rnacentral:pre_miRNA from 1 species